UGCGGGAGGGGGCUUGCCCCCGAUGGCUGUGGCCCAGCUGGCAUCUGUGUUGACUGACACACUGCUAUCGGGGGCAAGCCCCCUCCCACA
rnacentral:misc_RNA from 1 species